GAGAGAGAGAGAGAGAAGGGGAUGUCUCUCAUUCAUAAGCUGCCACCAGACCAGAAAACAAGUUUAGGAGAACUAUCUAGUUGUUAAUCUUCCUAUAAUGUAAUGUGUCUAAGUAGCUAUGCUAUGAAGAAUUACUGAACCAUAGAGAAUAAAAUUUUCCUGUUAUUCUAAAAUUACUAAUAUGCCAUUUCCAUGUCAAUAUAUUGUAGAACUUCCAUCAGUAACAUCUUGAAACUGAAAAUUUUGGAAAGCCCGUUUAGUUGCAACAAAAAUCAAAUCUUGAUAGUGGCUGCUCAUUUUGGAUGUAACAUUGUGUGAACUCCAGAUCCCCAAUAAUUUUGAAUUGUAAUGUCCCAUGAUGUUCAUUUUUGUUUCCCCUAUUGCUUUUCAACCAGAUGGUCCACCAGAAAAACUUGUCUAUAGCAUCUAUAGUAUUUUUUUUUGUUUUUGGAUAAAAUACGUGGAUUUAUCCAUUAUUACCUUGUGUAGACUUCAAGCUGAACAAGAGAGACUGGAAAGAAUAGGUCAUAUGGCAUAUUACUCAGAAUAGGUAAAAGCAAAGAAAGGAGAAAACUUAUGUGAAGCUAUUCAGAAGCAUUUU
rnacentral:misc_RNA from 1 species